rnacentral:rRNA from 1 species
UACGGAGGAUGCAAGCGUUAUCCGGAAUGAUUGGGCGUAAAGCGUCCGCAGGUGGCGAUGUAAGUCUGCUGUUAAAGAGCAAAGCUUAACUUUGUAAAAGCAGUGGAAACUACAUCGCUAGAGUGCGUUCGGGGCAGAGGGAAUUCCUGGUGUAGCGGUGAAAUGCGUAGAGAUCAGGAAGAACACCGGUGGCGAAGGCGCUCUGCUAGGCCGCAACUGACACUGAGGGACGAAAGCUAGGGGAGCGAACAGG